GGUCAACAGGUGAUCAUAAACGAAGGAGGCCCUUCGCAAGAAGCCUCGAUAAUAACUAUCACCGAGCUUUACUGCUGUGCAGGAGGCGCAGUCCAUCCAAGCGAUGACUUUGGGCGGUCAGACAUGAGGAUGAUAGAAGUGGAGCAAGUACCUGCAGGCACCCCGAUGAGGUCAUAAUCGUGGCGGCUAUUCUCGUGGUCCUCUUCAUUGUUGGCCUCGUGUAUUACAUGACGACCUCAGGUGAGUGACACACUUUUCCAUGCACCGUCUAAGAGACACCGAAAGGUUUCCAAGUCCGUGACGCUGUAGUCAGAAUCAGAAUCAGAAUCAGAAUCAGAACGAGUUUUAUUUUCCUCAAGGAAAGGAAAAAUGGACUCCAGACAAAAAGCUGCUCA